ACGCUCGACACCUACGGGAGCAGCAGUGGGGAAUAUUGCACAAUGGGGGAAACCCUGAUGCAGCGACGCCGCGUGAAGGAUGAAGUAUUUCGGUAUGUAAACUUCUAUCAGCAGGGAAGAAAGUGACGGUACCUGACUAAGAAGCCCCGGCUAACUACGUGCCAGCAGCCGCGGUAAUCUGAGCGGGCUGGCAAGGC
rnacentral:rRNA from 1 species